ensembl:ncRNA lncRNA:CR44043 long non-coding RNA:CR44043
UAGAAACACUGGCUGUAUACAAUGCAGUAAAACAUUUUUGCCAGUACCUACAUGGCCGCCCGUUUGUGGUUUAUACAGACCUCAAGUCGCUUAAGGCUACAUCUACCUUAUGGCAUUUGUCACCAAGAGUCCAUCGAUGGUGGGCAAAUUUACAGGCGUGUGAGUUUAAGAUUGACUAUAGAAAAGAACAAAGUAUGGCGCAUGUAGACUUUCUGUCUAGAAACCCACUACCAGAUCCUAGACUCUUAUAUGUCGCUAAGGUAACUGAAGUUCGUGUAGAGUUGUCUGAAAUAACUGGUUGCUUGCGGAACAGCGUAGAGAUAAAGAAAUUUCUGAACUAGUUACAAAGCUGCAAAAUAACGAAUUGGAAUACGAAUUAGCAAAGACUUACGAACUAAGGUCUGGCAUGUUGCAUAUAAAAAAACAGAGAAAUGGCUGAAAUAGAUACCUGCCAGUAAGCUGUAAUGCAUUUGGGCUGGGAAAAGACCUUGGAUAAAGUAUACACACAGUAUAGGUUAAAUAUAUGUCCAAAUAUGUGAGAAAGUUUGUAGAGAAUUGCAAAUCAUUUUACCAGUAAUGAUUUUAAACAGUUCUGUUUAUUUCAAAAGAUUGAGUUACACCUAAUUGCUACGGAAGCUAGCCGCGCAAACGGUCAGGUUGAGCGCGUAACGAGCAUUUUGAAGGCUAUGCUAACCGCUGUAGAGACGAGUAGUAGAUCGUGGCAGGAAGCUUUAAAGGAAGUUCAGUUGGCUAUGAAUUACACAGCUGAUCGCGUCACAAAAAUGAGUCCUUGAGAACUAUUGAUUGGUAAGGAAGCUAGACCAAUGGGCAUGAUGCCAAUGAUAAGGAAGUAAGGAAGCUAGACCAAUGGGCAUGAUGCCAAUGAAGAAGAAAAGAUUGAUGUAGAACAUGUUAGAGAUACGGCCUUGCAAAAUAUAAAAAAAAAUGCUGAAUAUGACAAGCAAAAAUUUAAUGAGAAUAAAACUAAGAUUGUCCUAUUCAAUGUAUUCUCAAGAGUGAAGAACGGCAUCAAACAAAGUUAGACCCAAAGUUUAAGGCUCCAUUUAUGAUAACGGAAAAGCUUGAUGGUGACCGAUAUGUGUUGACAUCUUUGGCAAGCAAAAUAAUGUAUAAUUACGCCCACGAACAGUUACGGUCGAUGCCUGUUGAGGUAGACACAGACCAAUGCACUCGUAGAGACCAUAGGCUCUAGUUAAAUUAUUCACAAGGCUACAGUUACACCAUAUGGUUAUCUGCGCAGUGACCAUGUGGCGGGGGCUGUGAGGGUCCAGAGGGACAAUGACGUAUGAGGAUGCGUGAGAUCGUUGCAAGGAGUGUAGCAAGAGCUUGAGAGUGUGACAUAAUAGAAACAAAGAGAGAGAAUGGUAAAGUAAGGAAUGAAAUGGAGAAAGAGGUGUGGCAAGAAAUACGAUUACUGUUUGAUCAAAAGAAAUGAAGUCAGAAAAUGUAAACUGCGAAAACAAGCUGGAGCAAGGCAAGGGAUGCCCAUAUGUUGAUUAAUAAACAUUGAUUGGAUAUUGAUGAAAUAUUAAAAUAAAAUGAAUGAAGAUAGAAAGUGUUAUGUAAAAUGUAAAGAACUAUGUAAUGCGAUACAACACACGAGGUCGUGAGCAUGUCAGGAAGGCCGUGUCGGAGAUUGAGUAGAUCUAUAACGUAUUAUUUGAAUGUAACCGAAUAUAUUUUAUUAAUCCGUUAUGUUGAACAUGAACAACGAAUAAUAAAAUUCACGGAAAGCGUUCCGUUAUUGAGUGAGCAUCAUUUGUGCGUGUAUUUAAUGAGCAUGGCGCCAUUUGUGCGUGUAUUCAAGUGAGCAUGGCGCCUGUUGUUGUUUUGGUAGAGUUUCGCAGAAACGAAGUAAGAAUGAUGAAAUGAGUGAAGUUGAGGAAUAGAAGAAAAGCAUCGAGAGAGCGACGCUUGAGUUAAUUAGUCUGGUGAGAGCGAUAGAAGAAACAACACGCAGGGGACUGGCUGUGCUGCACAAUAUGGACGCUAAAGUGGAAGAAAAGACGGGCUCUGCUUUUCCGAAAUAUACUUAUAAAGGAAUUAAUACCCCAUAUAUAGGGGUAUAUCUAUCACUUAGUAUUUUGUUCUUGUAAUAUAUAAUUAGGAGCAGUGUAAAUUAUCUGUUUUUGUGAGUAAAUUAAUUAGUAUAAUGGUUUGCAUGUAAAAUAUGUUCCGAUGUUGCAUACAUAUAAGGUUAAUAUAUUAAAACUAAUAUAUUUGAAUUUCUAUGACUUUUUAGGUACUCUGAAUGAAUUGAAGCCUGUGAUUGGUAAACUGGAAAUCUAUUUAUUGGCACGACAAAGUUGUUUGGACACUUAUUCCCAACCAAAUUCUAUACUUGGACACAUUUUAGGAUUAAAUGAGAUUGGAAGUACCCAGAUUAUAUAUAGUAAAUAUAGAAUAUGUAAGGGAAAGGAUGUAGAUAUAAAAAAUGAGGAUAUAUUAAAACAUUUAAUU